rnacentral:rRNA from 1 species
AUGUUGGUGCUGUUCGAGACACCCGCGAAGUUCGUCCUGUUGAUCAAGGUUCUGGACGAGGGGAAGAUCAGCGAAGUCGAGGUGAGUGGCUCUGAUACGUCUAUCUAUGUACCUGUGGUUUUGGCUUGUAGGAUUUGUGGAAGGGUUUUGGCUCGUCAGACAGAGCAAGAAAGGGACUGCCGUGUGUCUCAGACUCGGAGAAGGAGAAAAAGAAGAAGCAUGCCGAGGAGGUUUUCACAGAUGCGGCAUGGAAACCUGGAAGAGAAAACACCACAGGCAGAAGCUAUGGCGCUACAGGUGGCGGCACAAGUGGUCAUUGCAAUCACUACAGGAAACAUCAUGUUCUUCACGGACAAUCAGGUUCUGGCCCAAGCCGCACAAGCAAGGGAUAUUCUUAAAAUCCCUGGUCAUUGGCAGAUAAGAAAUCAGUUGGCAAAUUUCUUUGCCACCACUAGCCGCACUCAGAUAGCUGUUCACCAUAUUCCUAGGAAGCUUAAUGACAGGGCUCAUAACAAUGCACGUAAAGCUUACUCGUUACAAUGCAAUAUUAGCCCUGUUAUGACUUGUAAUAGCAGGUCUCAUUUAGUUGAACACUGUCCCUAUGCUUCUGAAGCUAGGCAAUCUAAGCAUCAGCAAUUGUAA